rnacentral:rRNA from 1 species
AACGAACGCUGGCGGCAUGCCUAAUACAUGCAAGUCGAACGAGAUCUUCGGAUCUAGUGGCGCACGGGUGCGUAACGCGUGGGAAUCUGCCCUUGGGUUCGGAAUAACGUCGGGAAACUGACGCUAAUACCGGAUGAUGACGUAAGUCCAAAGAUUUAUCGCCCAAGGAUGAGCCCGCGUAGGAUUAGCUAGUUGGUGAGGUAAAGGCUCACCAAGGCGACGAUCCUUAGCUGGUCUGAGAGGAUGAUCAGCCACACUGGGACUGAGACACGGCCAAGACACCUACGGGAGGCAGCAGUAGCGAAUAUUGGACAAUGGGCGCAAACCUGAUCCAGCAAUGACGCGUGAGUGAUGAAGGCCUUAGGGUUGUAAAGCUCUUUUACCCGGGAUGAUAAUGACAAUACCGGGAGAAUAAGCCCCGGCUAACUCCGUGCCAGCCGCCGCCGUAA